GACGAACGCUGGCGGCGUGCUUAACACAUGCAAGUCGAACGGAAAGGCCCUGCUUUUGUGGGGUGCUCGAGUGGCGAACGGGUGAGUAACACGUGAGUAACCUGCCCUUGACUUUGGGAUAACUUCAGGAAACUGGGGCUAAUACCGGAUAGGAGCUCCUGCUGCAUGGUGGGGGUUGGAAAGUUUCGGCGGUUGGGGAUGGACUCGCGGCUUAUCAGCUUGUUGGUGGGGUAGUGGCUUACCAAGGCUUUGACGGGUAGCCGGCCUGAGAGGGUGACCGGCCACAUUGGGACUGAGAUACGGCCCAGACUCCUACGGGAGGCAGCAGUGGGGAAUAUUGCACAAUGGGCGGAAGCCUGAUGCAGCAACGCCGCGUGCGGGAUGACGGCCUUCGGGUUGUAAACCGCUUUCGCCUGUGACGAAGAGUGAGUGACGGUAAUGGGUAAAGAAGCACCGGCUAACUACGUGCCAGCAGCCGCGGUGAUACGUAGGGUGCGAGCGUUGUCCGGAUUUAUUGGGCGUAAAGGGCUCGUAGGUGGUUGAUCGCGUCGGAAGUGUAAUCUUGGGGCUUAACCCUGAGCGUGCUUUCGAUACGGGUUGACUUGAGGAAGGUAGGGGAGAAUGGAAUUCCUGGUGGAGCGGUGGAAUGCGCAGAUAUCAGGAGGAACACCAGUGGCGAAGGCGGUUCUCUGGGCCUUUCCUGACGCUGAGGAGCGAAAGCGUGGGGAGCGAACAGGCUUAGAUACCCUGGUAGUCCACGCUGUAAACGGUGGGUACUAGGUGUGGGGUCCAUUCCACGGGUUCCGUGCCGUAGCUAACGCUUUAAGUACCCCGCCUGGGGAGUACGGCCGCAAGGCUAAAACUCAAAGGAAUUGACGGGGCCCCGCACAAGCGGCGGAGCAUGCGGAUUAAUUCGAUGCAACGCGUAGAACCUUACCUGGGUUUGACAUGGAUCGGGAGCGCUCAGGGAUGGGUGUGCCUCUUUUGGGGUCGGUUCACAGGUGGUGCAUGGCUGUCGUCAGCUCGUGUCGUGAGAUGUUGGGUUAAGUCCCGCAACGAGCGCAACCCUUGUUCACUGUUGCCAGCACGUUAUGGUGGGGACUCAGUGGAGACCGCCGGGGUCAACUCGGAGGAAGGUGGGGAUGACGUCAAGUCAUCAUGCCCCUUAUGUCCAGGGCUUCACGCAUGCUACAAUGGCUGGUACAGAGAGUGGCGAGCCUGUGAGGGUGAGCGAAUCUCGGAAAGCCGGUCUCAGUUCGGAUUGGGGUCUGCAACUCGACCUCAUGAAGUCGGAGUCGCUAGUAAUCGCAGAUCAGCAACGCUGCGGUGAAUACGUUCCCGGGGCU
rnacentral:rRNA from 1 species